rnacentral:siRNA from 1 species
CAAGUUGUGCCAGAGUAGUCGA